AGAAGAAGAAGAAGAAGAAGAACAACAGCCCCCAGGUCAACAUUAAUAAUAUGAUGAUGAUAUUAUUAUUAUUGACAGAUUCAUAUAUCAGAUCACGGUGAUUGCCUGGUGAUGAGUGACAGGUGUUUGCUUGUGAGAAGACGUGCUACACGAGUAGGCAACCGAGACGAGAGAGUUUUUUAAAUGAAUCUGAAGUCACGUUUGUAUAGACAAGAGGUAAAUUCAUUUGUUUCUUCUUCUAAGCUGUUCUAGACUUAGGUGCUACUUUUAGGGCUAAAAUGCUUCGUGAAUUACUCUUAGUAAAACACAUUAGGAGUCUAAAGUUGAUACUUGUAGCCUCUUAUAAGAUUCUUUGUGAAUGCGGACCCAGGUAAAAAUGUUUGAUAUGCUCGUUUGAACGGUAUGAGAACAGUAUUUUAAUGUUAUUCUCUGGUUGUAAGUGGCUUUGGAUAAAAGUGUCUGCUAAAUGAAUAACUGUUAAUGUAAACAGGCCUAUAUAAAAGAAAACAUAACAUAUUAGGCUACAGGGGGUCAGGAGACCUAGAGAGUUGAAAUAAAAGCUAUUUUUGUGAAACUAUUAGAAUUGAAAUUAUGAUAUGAUUAGCAGAGGCAACAACUUUUUUUAUGUAUUUUUUAUUUUUAUUUACUACUGCGCACUCUGGGAGGUAUUGCAUAAAAGUAGAAUUAAGAAAGCCAGGAUAACAGAACAGUCGCGGCUUGACCUAGUUUAAUCAGUGCAUCCUGGCUUAAUCCGUUGCACGUUUGCUGAGCCAGGAUGAGAACGCGCGGAUGUGUCAAGCCAGGUGUAUAUAGUUUGGAUAAAUGCACGUUCACGGCAUUCUUAAAAAGAUCACGAAAUCACCGAUGCAAAAAUGGACAAAACCCGUGCGGCAUACUUUUCGCCUAAUGAGCAACAGCUUCUUAUGGAAACGUAUGAAGAAGUGAAACAUAUAAUAUGUAAAAAAGGCAAUACAGCUGCUGUAAUAAAACAAAGAGAGAAUGCCUGGCAAACAAUAGCGGACCGAUUGAAUGCGUAAGUAGUCCAAAUAACCAGUGCUCCACUGAAACCCUCAUAAUUACAAUACUUGUCAUUACUUGUCAUUUUCAAAAAUAAUUGUAUACUUCGCCUUAAAUGUGACCAGUGGACAUGCAUUUAACAUGAAGAAUAAUUGCAAACACUUCUAUUUGAUCUAUUUAGUUUCUUUUAUGUCUAUAAUCUGUUUAAUCUUUUUACUCUUAUCUAUUUGUAUGUAGGUUUUGUUUCUAAUUGAUUUGAUGUAAUCUAUAAUCAGAUAAUUUGCUCUAUUUUAUCCAUCUAAUCUAUUUUCUCAUUUGUAUCUAUCUAUUCCUCUUAAAGAACAAACAUGUCUGGCCAAAAAAAGGACUUGGCAGCAAGUCAAGAUUAAAUACAAGAAUAUUUUGCAGGCUGGUAAGUGACUUGUUUUAUGGAGAACAGGUGACAUGUUUGCUGACAUUUUUUUGUCUGUGCUGAUUUUAGCAAUAAAAAAAAAGUCAUAUAUCUGGUAAUGGGGUGGCCCUCCAACCCAAGACUUCACCACAGCAGAGGAGCUGGCCCUGGACUUAAAUAAAGGGAAGCCAGUGAUUGAAGGGAUCCAGGGAGGGACAGCCACUGACUCUGGCCCAGCAAGGGAUACUGGCCUCUUCAUACAAGUGGCUGGCAACACCCUUACACUUUUGGAGCCACCAGACUAUGAUUCGCCGAGGGAAGCCACAUCUACAGCAGUGGAGUGCACUUCUGCCGAUGAUGAGACCGUGUCGCUGGACUCCAGAAGGCUCGAGGAUCCUGACACUGGGCAGCCUGAUAAGCAGCCUGGUAACAUAAUAUCUCUACACAACGCAUCUUAAGAGACAGAUCGAGCUGUCAGAAGUCAAGAUUGAUGUGAACAAAAGAAAGCUGCAGGACAUGGACCUUGAGAUGCAAAUUAAACACAAGACACUGAGGAAACUAGAACUGGAAAUCCAGAAACUAGAAAGAGAAGUGACUUCAGUUCAUACUGUAACCAUGACUGUAACACAAUGUAUUAAUCAUCAUAAUUUUUCUCUCCAAAGCUCCAAGCUGACAAGUAAUAACAGCAAAAUAAUAAAAGAAAA